CUGGGCCUCAGAGGCGUGUGUAUCUAAUGUGCAUUAUAUCCGCAGGUGAGGCAGACAAAAUGGAAACAAAGAGAACAAAGCUAGCAGCACGCGCAGAACGCAUCUCUUUCGCAAAGAUACUUCCAAAAUGCUUCGAAAACUGCAGCGAGCUGUCGACAAGCUCACUUCAGCUGCCGAGGGAACUAACAGGGAAGAACCUGAAGAGAACACGGUAAGAGUUUGUUUACUGUAAAAACUUGCUCAGUGUGUGAUGUGCAGCAUUUGUUUU